GCUGUAAGGCAUCCGGUGGAGAGAUCAGAAGCGAGAAUGUUGACAUGAGUAGCGAUAAAGAGGGUGAGAGACCCUCUCGCCGAAAAUCCAAGGGUUCCUGCUUAAAGCUAAUCUGAGCAGGGUGAGCCGGCCCCUAAGGCGAGGCCGAAAGGCGUAGUCGAUGGGAACUAGGUUAAUAUUCCUAGGCCAGGAGGAAGUGACGGAUCUCGAAGAUUGUCUGCCCUUAUCGGAUUGGGUGGGCCGUUUAGAGGUUCCAGGAAAUAGCCCUCCAUCAGACCGUACCCUAAACCGACACAGGUGGAUUGGUAGAGUAUACCAAGGCGCUUGAGAGAACCGCAUUUAAGGAACUCGGCAAAAUGCCUCCGUAAGUUCGCGAGAAGGAGGCCCUGUCUGUAGGCAACUAUAGGCAGGGGGCACAAACUAGGGGGUGGCGACUGUUUACUUAAAACACAGGGCUGUGCGAAGCCGUAAGGCGACGUAUACAGUCUGACGCCUGCCCGGUGCUGGAAGGUUAAAAGGAGGGGUGCAAGCUCUGAAUUGAAGCCCCAGUAAACGGCGGCCGUAACUAUAACGGUCCUAAGGUAGCGAAAUUCCUUGUCGGGUAAGUUCCGACCUGCACGAAUGGCGUAACGAUCUCCCCGCUGUCUCAAAUGCGGACUCAGCGAAAUUGAACUGUGUGUCAAGAUGCACACUACCCGCGGUUAGACGGAAAGACCCCAUGCACCUUUACUCCAGCUUUGCACUGGUAUCAGGAUUGUGAUGUGCAGGAUAGGUGGUAGGCAUUGAAGCGGGGACGCUAGUCUUCGUGGAGCCUCCCUUGAGAUACCACCCUUCGCACUCUUGAUGUCUAACCGCGGCCCGUUAUCCGGGUCCGGGACCCUGCAUGGUGGGGAGUUUGACUGGGGCGGUCGCCUCCUAAACAGUAACGGAGGCGCGCGAUGGUAGGCUCAGACCGGUCGGAAAUCGGUCGUUGAGUGCAAUGGCAGAAGCCUGCCUGACUGCAAGUCUGACAAGACGAGCAGAGACGAAAGUCGGUCAUAGUGAUCCGGUGGUCCCAAGUGGGAGGGCCAUCGCUCAACGGAUAAAAGGUACGCUGGGGAUAACAGGCUGAUGAUGCCCAAGAGUCCAUAUCGACGGCAUCGUUUGGCACCUCGAUGUCGGCUCAUCUCAUCCUGGGGCUGGAGCAGGUCCCAAG
rnacentral:rRNA from 1 species